UACGGAGGGGGCUAGCGUUGUUCGGAAUUACUGGGCGUAAAGCGUACGUAGGCGGCUUUGUAAGUUAGAGGUGAAAGCCCGGGGCUCAACCUCGGAAACUGCCUUCGAUACUGCGGGUCUCGAGUCGGAGAGGUGAGUGGAAUUCCUAGUGUAGAGGUGAAAUUCGUAGAUAUUAGGAAGAACACCAGUGGCGAAGGCGGCUCACUGGCCCCGGUACUGACGCUGAGG
rnacentral:rRNA from 1 species